UCCAUCUCUCUCUCAUUUCGCCUCAUCUCUAUUCUCUUCAUAAACACAGACGAAAUCGAAGAUCCAUCGAAAAAAUCAAUCAAUAACAUCAACUCUUCUCUGUUCUCUUCAUCAACACCAGCUGAAAACGAAGAUUCAUCAGCUCUUCUCGAUGCUCAUCAUUAACAAAAUCCAUCAACAUAUCAGUUCUUGAGGAUUUCUUGUGAAUCGAUGAAGAACAGUCAAUGAGGAGCACCAACAGUAUUCGAGAGUAAUCGAUGAAACUCAAGAUUAUACCUCUUCCUUGGUAUGUUGUUGCUGUUCAUUCCAGAAAUUUGUAUGAAUGGGUGUGUAUACUUAGCUCAGCAAUGGAUUUACUUAUAAUGGUAUAGAAGUUGAUUAAUCUAAACACCAAACCUUCACUUUGAGAUAACACUAUUAUCUGCUCAUACAGCUGAUGGAAUCGUUGCUUGGCGAGGUUACGGAGGAGUUUGAACAUCGUUUGGCGACCCAGAAUGAACCGAUAAGCUUCUCUUUGCUUUGUUAGUAAUAAAGAAACAAGAGAUUUCUUAGUAAUAAAGAAAAAUAAGUAUCGUGGAUUGUUUGGCAGGUGGUGGUGGUGGAUACCAAGGAGGAGGAGAUUGGUGAGGGUGUCUUGGUGAUGGAUAUCAAGGCGGCGGAGAUCAAAAAGAAACAAGAGAUUUAUUAGUAACAAAGAAACAUGUUUGGCAUGUGGUGGUGGUGGAUACCAAGGAGGAUGAUAUCGGGGAGGGUGUUUUGCCGGGGGAGAUCAUGGAGGUAGUGGUAGCGAAAGAGAUGGUGAUUGAUGUGCCAUAGUUCAAGAGGAUAUGGAAGAUGUUUGUGGAUAUACCUGCCAUUUGAUCAGAAUCCAUUGAUAGUUUGUUUCUAAAUCAUAUUUGGAAGUGUACAAGGAACUUAAAGCUUACCAACUUGAAGGCUGUAUCUGCGGCGAGUGAUGCUUAAAUGUUUUGGAGGGUAAAGUGCUAUAAUGUGCAACUAAGCAAAAGUGAGUAAAGAAGACACUUCGUUUAAGUUUGUGGUAUUAUGUCGUUGAAUGGUUAAGAGAUUUUGUGGUGUCCGUUAAAGAAUAACACAACAUUUUUGUUGUUUAUUGAUGGAUGCUUAUAGCCCACGUAGGGCUACGCUAAAUCUAUAGCUGUCUAUUGAAACUCAUCAGUUGUUCAAAAAACACAACAACUUGUGUUCAAAAGUAGUGCAGUUAUAUCCUCAUAA